rnacentral:lncRNA from 1 species
AUGGAAAAUUUAUUGUGUAGGAAAUGUGUAGCAACUUGCUACGCAUUUGUGAUGGAAAAUUUAUUACCAUAUUGUAUUCCAUGCUCACCUAAUUGAGCCAAUCAAAAGCUUUAGUUAAACUUCACACGGAUCACCAUCCUACGGUCCAUUGCUCACCUAAUUUUCAAUCCAACGGUCCAUUGCUCAUCUAAACCCUACCUAUUUAAUCCCUCCAUCUCAUUUCUCACAUU